GAAUAGAAACAUACUUAUGAAAUAUAACGAGUUGCACUUUCGCCUCGAUUCCCCUCCUGUGGUAGCCUGCUCCCCGCCACGCUGCAGAGACGAGCGCCACAAUGUUACAUGGCUCCAGGCCACGGGAAACCACGGCAACGCUCGACGACGCUACGGCAGGAAACGCCCGCCACCGCCCGCCACGUGAGGUCAGACCGUCCCGGUUACAGGCUAAAACAGCCGAGUCUUGUGAUUGGCUCGCUCGCUGCACUUGAACACGUCUUAGGGUUCCUGUGAUGUACUGCUGACAGAUUAGGCUCCAUGCAGACUACCCAGCAAGAAGCAGCUCAUAUUCUGACAGUGGCACAUCACAAGAGGUAGCCACAGCAUUAUCAUAGUGUUGAAAAUAGUUCCAAAUAUAUCUUUGUGUUUGUAGCCAGAUUAUAAAUUUGCC
ensembl:lncRNA